CGCGCAGGCGGCCUUUCAAGUCAGGGGUGAAAGCCCGGAGCUCAACUCCGGAAUUGCCUUUGAAACUGUCAGGCUCGAGUACGGGAGUAGGUGAGUGGAAUUCCCAGUGUAGAGGUGAAAUUCGUAGAUAUUGGGAAGAACACCGGUGGCGAAGGCGGCUCACUGGCCCGUAACUGACGCUCAGGCGCGACAGCGUGGGGAUCAAACAGGAUUAGAUACCCUGGUAGUCCACGCCGUAAACGAUGGACGCUAGCCGUUGGCAAGCUUGCUUGUCAGUGGCGCAGCUAACGCAUUAAGCGUCCCGCCUGGGGAGUACGGCCGCAAGGUUGAA
rnacentral:rRNA from 1 species